ACACGGGACAAUAAAUUCAAAUCAAUUCAAUUUCAAUCCAAUUCAAUUCAAUACACCGGUGCAUGGUCUGAGAUAAUUAUAUUUCCAAUUUUGCAAGCCAAUGCUCUCUCUAAGCAGACCAACGGCGUAAGGAACAUGUCAAUUUGCCUGUGGCACUUGUGUGGAUUAGGAUAUAAAGUAGUCUCCACACAUCCACCAAUCCCAACUCCUCACACAAAUCCACCGAUUGUCUCGAUUGCGCGGCAUACCUGCCAGGCCGCUUGACAUCCUGUCUACUCCGAGAUCCAUUCGGUGGUUAAAAUCCCCUCCUGUGAUCGUGUGGCACACCCCAGUUUAUCAACUGCAUCAAUUAGAAAUUUAAGAGGGGGCACCGGGGGACAAUAAACAUUCAGGAUGCCAUAUUCUUCUCCGUGUAUUAGAGCUUUAUGAACGAUGAACUGUCGAUGUUCAUCCUUAAUUUGCUCAGUUAUCUGGAAUGGGCUGUUCCUUCUUACCAGUAUAGCCAUUCCUCUACCCUUGGAGCUAAAGGAGGAGAACACCCUAUCAUAACCCCCCUGCUGCAGCUUCAGAUGCUCCUUAUCAGUUAAAUGCAUCUCCUGCAGCAGGAUGAUGUCCACCCUUUCCUUCCUAAGGCUUGACAGCACCUUCUUUCUUUUAAUGGGGGAAUGGUUCCCUUUUACAUUCCAGGUGCACCAUCGAAACAGAUCACGAGCCACGGUCAUCCAGGUAAGUAUGGCUAUUGCCCGAAACGUCAGUUCUCCUGCUCCUCGGAUGCUGUCUGUGCUUUUCCAGCACCACUCUAAUCUAGACUCUGAUUUCCAGCAUCUGCAGUCCUCACUUUUGCCUAUGGUCAUCCAGGGCAGCCCAUUGAUUUCCCAAGAGGAGGAAGCUUAUCUGAGGUAUGUGCUGGAGUUGCUCUAGGACCAGGCGGGGGUGCAGAUCUGACCCGGACCUGUGCAUCGCGAUCCGGUGGGCCCACUCCACACUCACCCGGCCUGAAUCUACCUCCAGCCCCAGGCACCUCGGGAGCCGCCUCUCCAAGAAUCCGUUGAGGUCCUUGCCUUCCUCAUGCUCCAGGAGACCCAUUUUCGAACAUUUUUCCUCCUACUUUUAUUUUCCAGGUCAUCCACUCGUUCCUCAAGGACCGGAACCUGGUCUUCCAGUGUUCGGAUCCGUCCUCCUGAGGACCUCUGCCACGGUCUCCAAUGCCGCAGUCCUCUGCUCCACCACUUCCACUCGUUGGUCCAGUGUAUGAAUCUCCUGCUCAGCAUGGCAGAGAUCGGCUGCAGCACUGCUUCAAUCUUUUCUCAGAGUAUAGCAAACUCCGAAAGAUGGAUGUGUUGUCCCAGUCGAAGUGGUGUCCUUCCUUAU